UACGUGAGGGGCUAGCGUUGUCCGGAAUCAUUGGGCGUAAAGAGCGUGUAGGCGGCCCGGUAAGUCCGCUGUGAAAGUCGGGGGCUCAACCUUUGAAUGUCAGUGGAUACUGCCGGGCUAGAGUCCGGAAGAGGCGAGUGGAAUUCCUGGUGUAGCGGUGAAAUGCGCAGAUAUCAGGAGGAACACCGAUGGCGAAGGCAGCUCGCUGGGACGGUACUGACGCUGAGACGCGAAAGCGUGGGGAGCAAACAGG
rnacentral:rRNA from 1 species